UGAGUCCAUAUCUGAUGGGCAAUCGGGUAUCAAAGUCCAUCGAUAUGAAACCUUGAUCGAAGAGUCCCAAACCAGUGGGACUCUUGACCCCGGUACCCAAAAUGUGUGGGACUCAUGAUCAGAGAAUCCUGAUUCUCGAUCACAGAGUCCCAGACAUAUAGGACUCAUAGUCCACAAAUAUUAGGACUCUUCAUCAGCCAUCAGAUCAGAUAGGAACCUCUAAUGUGUGUGACC
rnacentral:lncRNA from 1 species